rnacentral:rRNA from 1 species
AUUGAACGCUAGCGGGAUGCUUUACACAUGCAAGUCGAACGAGUGGCGGACGGGUGAGUAAUAUCUCGGAACGUGCCCAGUAGCGGGGGAUAACUUCUCGAAAGAGUGGCUAAUACCGCAUACUAUUAGAGCGGCCGAUGUCGGAUUAGCUAGUUGGUGGGGUAAAGGCGCACCAAGGCAACGAUCCGUAGCUGCUUUGAGAGGACGACCAGCCACACUGGGACUGAGACACGGCCCAGACUCCUACGGGAGGCAGCAGUGGGGAAUUUUGGACAAUGGGGGAAACCCUGAUCCAGCCAUGCCGCGUGUAUGAGAAGGCCUUCGGGUUGUAAAGUACUUUUGGUAGAGAAGCGGUAUCUGCAGAAUAAGCACCGGCUAACUACGUGCCAGCAGCCGCGGUAAUAC